rnacentral:rRNA from 1 species
UACGUAGGGCGCAAGCGUUAUCCGGAAUUCUUGGGCGUAAAGAGCUCGUAGGCGGGUUGUCGCGUCUGCCGUGAAAGUCCGGGGCUCAACUCCGGAUCUGCGGUGGGUACGGGCAGACUAGAGUGAUGUAGGGGAGACUGGAAUUCCUGGUGUAGCGGUGAAAUGCGCAGAUAUCAGGAGGAACACCGAUGGCGAAGGCAGGUCUCUGGGCAUUAACUGACGCUGAGGAGCGAAAGCAUGGGGAGCGAACAGG